rnacentral:rRNA from 1 species
GACGAACGCUGGCGGCGUGCUUAACACAUGCAAGUCGAACGGAAAGGCCCUGCUUUUGUGUGGUGCUCGAGUGGCGAACGGGUGAGUAACAUGGGAGUAACCUGCCCUUGACUUUGUGAUAACUUCAGGAAACUGGGGCUAAUACCGGAUAGGAGCUCCUGCUGCAGGGUGGGGGUUGGAAAGUUUCGGCUGUUGGGGCUGGACUCGCGGCUUAUCAGCUUGUUGGGGGGGUAGGGGCUUACCAAGGCUUUGGCGGGUAGCCGGCAUGGGAGGGUGACCGGGCACAAUGGGACUGAGAUACGGCCCAGACUGCUACGGGAGGCAGCAGUGGGGAAUAUUGCACAAUGGGCGGAAGCGUGAUGCAGCAACGCCGCGUGCGGGAUGCAGGCCUUCGGGGUGUAAACCGCUUUCGCCUGUGACGAAGCGUGAGUGACGGUAAUGGGUAAAGAAGCACCGGCUAACUACGUG